rnacentral:rRNA from 1 species
UGAGCAAUCUGCCCUUCUCUUUGGAAUAAGCGUUGGAAACGACGUCUAAUGCCGAAUACGACCUCCUUUCGCAUGAUCGGAGGUGGAAAGCUCCGGCGGAGAAGGAUGAGCUCGCGGCCUAUCAGCUAGUUGGUGUGGGUAAUGGCCCACAAGGCGACGACGGGUAGCCGGCCUGAGAGGGUGACCGGCCACACUGGGACUGAGACACCGGCCCAGACCUCCGUACGGGGAGNAGCG